AAAGCGGGUUAAUAUUCCUGCACCAUCUUGUGAGCGUUGAACUAAGGGAGGACGGAGAAAGCUAGGCGAGCUGACCGGUGGUUGUGUCAGUCUAAAGGUGUAGGGGUGUCGCGUACGAUUAAAGGCGCGGCAGCCAUCCCCGAGACUCCAUGGCGCCCCGUAAGGGGUAAGUCGCUGAUGCUCUGCUUCCAAGAAAAGUCCCGUAGGGAGCUUACAGGGUGUCCGUACCGCAAACCGACACAGGUGGGCGAGGAGAAAAUCCUAAGGCGCUUGAGAGAACUCUCCUCCAAGGAACUAGGCAAAUUUCCACCGUAACUUCGGAAGAAGGUGGGCCUCUGGUAGGUGUAGGCGUACAGCCGAAGCCGAAUGAGGUUGCAGAGAAAUGGCGGUAGCGACUGUUUACCAAAAACACAGGACUCUGCGAAGGCGACAAGCCGACGUAUAGGGUCUGACUCCUGCCCGGUGCUGGAAGGUUAAGGGGAUUCGUCAGCCGCAAGGUGAAGCGAUGAUCCGAAGCCCCAGUAAACGGCGGCCGUAACUAUAACGGUCCUAAGGUAGCGAAAUUCCUUGUCGGGUAAGUUCCGACCUGCACGAAUGGAGUAACGACUUCCGCGCUGUCUCGGAGAGGGACUCAGCGAAAUUGAAAUAGCUGUGCCGAUGCAGUUUACCCGCAGCAAGACGGAAAGACCCCGUGAACCUUUACUAUAACUUGACAGUGACACUAGGGAUUGACUGUGUAGGAUAGGUGGGAGCCUUUGAAGCCGGGCCGCUAGGUUCGGUGGAGGCAACGGUGAAAUACCACCCUGUUGAUUUCUGGUGUCUAACCAUGUCCCGUCAGCCGGGAUUGGGACACUGUCUGGUGGGUAGUUUGACUGGGGCGGUCGCCUCCCAAAAAGUAACGGAGGCGCGCGAUGGUUCCCUCAGCCCGAUUGGAAACCGGGCGUCGAGUGCAAUGGCAUAAGGGAGCUUGACUGCGAGACGGACACGUCGAGCAGGUGCGAAAGCAGGUCAUAGUGAUCCGGUGGUCCUGAAUGGAAGGGCCAUCGCUCAACGGAUAAAAGGUACUCCGGGGAUAACAGGCUUAUCUCCCCCAAGAGUUCACAUCGACGGGGAGGUUUGGCACCUCGAUGUCGGCUCAUCGCAUCCUGGGGCUGGAGCAGGUCCCAAGGGUUUGGCUGUUCGCCAAUUAAAGCGGUACGCGAGCUGGGUUCAAAACGUCGUGAGACAGUUUGGUCCCUAUCUGCUGUGGGCGUAGGAUACUUGAGAGGCUCUGACCUUAGUACGAGAGGACCGGGUUGGAGGCACCGCUGGUGUACCAGUUGUCUCGCCAGAGGCAUCGCUGGGUAGCCAUGUGCCGAUU
rnacentral:rRNA from 1 species